CUCUCGUUACGUCAAGUCCUCCAUUCCCAGUGACUGUUAUUGGAGAAGAGCUAACGGCUAGCUGCUGAACGACUUCGCUAACCUCACUCAGAUAAAGUGUCUAAGCUCAGAUACAGGUGAAUUGCGCUCGCUUCUGAGUCCCGUCCCUGAAAAGCAGCAUGUCCAGCGACCCCCCUCCGCCCUACCCAGGGGGCCCCAGCGCUCCUCUUAUAGAGGAAAAGAAUGGACAGCCUCCAGUCUCUGAAACCCACGGAGACCAGGAGCAAAGCCUGACUUGUUAAUGACCGUUAUCUUGAUUACUUAACACCAGAACCAAAAUGUACAAUAGAAUAUUGUGUUGUGUUAUUAUUUUCCUGCUUAUUACGUACUCAAAUUCGAAUUCGAAGGCAUUACCAA
ensembl:lncRNA